ACGGGGGUGCCACGGACUGACAUGCAAAAGACUUCAUGAGAAAUCAGUUGGGACGAAGGGAAGGACGAGGGACACAAUUCUGUCUUGACCAUGGAGAGGCGUAUACUUCCCCACCACAUUGAUGAGGGGCUUGGCCACGUGACUUGCUUUGACCAAUGGAAUGUGAGCAGAUGUGACAUACACCCCCAUCCUUGAACAGGUGCUGAAUGGAUGCAUUUAUCAUGAACCUGUCAUAUACUGAAUGUAGGAGACUGGAUAUUAAGGCUGAAAAUAAUAUUUUGAAAGGGCAUUUUGCCUAUUCAUUCCUUGAUUUGUUCCUUUGUCCUUCUCUUCAUUUAUUUGUUCAUUCACUUAACAAUAAAUAUUUAUUGAGCGCUUCCUGUGAAGUAGGCGCUGUGCGAA